CUAAUGCUAAGGCUAACUAGCUGUACCCUGCAAAACAAAAAUGCAGUUUAUCUGUCUUUAUGUUAGCUAGCCCGUCGAGGUGCUUUAGCUGUAUCAUGUACUGCGUAUAGCCAGCAUGCAGAGAAUUUUAAGUGGUCCAGACACACGUGGCAGCUCCAGCUCCCUGAGAAAGACGGAGAAAGAGAGGCUGAAACGGACAUCACGUAAUGCUCCCAUCUCCUACAUCAUACAUACAUCGUUCUCCGAGGUGCCGCAGAUGCUGCAGGACUUGCACUCUAUGCACUGCCACUGGUACGUCCUCACCGCCUGCAUCAUGUUGUCGGUGAACUGCAGACAUGUGGGGUGACCUGCGGGGGACCGACGAGAAGAGACGAGGAAAGUGAUGAAGACGGAUGGAAUGGAUAGCCAGAGGAUGAACAAAACAAAUGCAGUCGUGUUUCUCUUAUGUAACCGGUGAGAGACGCCUGUUUAUGAGGCGGCCCUGGAUUGGAGCUGACAGCAGACGCAGACGGACGGACACAUCUAAACAUAUUUACAUAAUUCAUCAAAAGCCGAUCUGCAUCAUCUGCUUUAGUAAUGUAUCUCCUGUGUUAAUUAAAAUGAAUAAAUUAUUGACAGUAUUUCCCAGCGUGCGCAGAUUUCUAAAUUCUCCUUUUAGUUUAUGCUGUGGAAAGAAAAUCAUUUUGCUUAAGUGAUUCAAUAAAAUGUUUUGCCUUUGAGAUAAAUAAGAUGCAAAUUAAGACAAAAUGAUUUCUCCCUUCAGGAUAAGACUGUUUAUAAGAACGAAUGAUGACUAUCAACUAGAGCAACAAUUAUGGUAAUGAAUUAAUUGCUUUAGUCAUUUCUUUCUUUCUUUUUUUUUUUUUUUAGCUAAACCCUUUUUUUGUUCCAGCUUCUUCGAUGUAAGCAUUUUCUGCGUUUCUUUCCCAUUUAUGAAAAACAAAUGAGGAAAUAAUGUUAAUAUUUCAGUCUUGGACUGUCGAUUUGAGUGAAAUUAAAUCUGAAGACGUCACUUUGAGCUCUGGCAAACUGUGAUGUGCAUUUUUCAUAUGUUUUUGACAGAUUAGUUGCAGCCCACUUGUGUGUGUGAUUCAAACAUCAGUCCGCUCAGCUGUAUGAAACUUAGCGUCAAAGGCAACCUAACCACAAACGACGGGUGAUUAUAUAUCUGGAAAAACCAAACACAAGCAGUGGUGUACGCAGGCAAAACGUUAUCAUCUGCCCAUAAAUCUACAGCUGUGACGACAAUAAGAGCUUCGCAGCUCUGUCGGAGCGCAGUUAUCUGCGUCGCCCUGGUAUCAAUGGGGUAUCAACGAGCCAUGAAUGAGCCAUAAUCAAGGAUGAAGUGAUUUACUUCUGAA